CCGCGGUGAACUCAGAGCUGAGUGACGAGCGUUUCCGUGGCGACGCGGUGGGUCAGGCUCUCGACGUGGAGCGGGCCGAGAGAGUCCGACUCAGCAGAGAAAAUAAAGAUCUGCAGGCUCGGUGUGAGCAGUGCAAAGUGAGCAUGGAGGCUGUGGAGAAGCAGCUGCAGGAGGAGAAGCAGAACGUCCUGAUCGCUGAGAGCCAGAGAGGAAUCAGGACAGAGGGCGAGCUGUCGAUGCAGCUGGAGGUCAGCCAGACGGAGGUGGAGUUUCUGAGAAGAAGACUGAAGCAGACGGAGGAGAAGCUGGAGACGGAGAAACAGAGCAGACAGCAGCUCGACUCC